rnacentral:tRNA from 1 species
GGGAAUGUGGCUCAGUCGUAGAGAAUCUGCUUGGCAUGCAGAAGAUCCCAAGUUCAAUCUGUGGCAUUUCCA